UUUUUUUUUUAUUUAGAACGUCUGCCAACGCCGUCUACCUUCAGAAGAAUCACAAGAGUUAGAGCGAAUGGCAAUGCCUUUUCCUGUGUAUGGACAGCCAGCAAGUCACAAGAACGCUGAUACCGUUUCAAACGAAGAAACUGCUGAACCACAGACUCCAUCUAAGACUGUCAUAUCGGAUAAACAACUACAGG